rnacentral:rRNA from 1 species
UACAGAGGGGGCAAGCGUUGUUCGGAAUUACUGGGCGUAAAGGGCGCGUAGGCGGCCUGUUAAGUCGAACGUGAAAUCCCCGGGCUCGACCCGGGAACUGCGUCCGAUACUGGCAGGCUUGAAUCCGGGAGAGGGAUGCGGAAUUCCAGGUGUAGCGGUGAAAUGCGUAGAUAUCUGGAGGAACACCGGUGGCGAAGGCGGCAUCCUGGACCGGCAUUGACGCUGAGGCGCGAAAGCCAGGGGUGCAAACGGG